GGGUGCGAUCAUACCAGCGUUAAUGCACCAGAUCCCAUCAGAUAUCCGCAGUUAAGUGUGCUUGGGCUAGAGUAGUACUGGGAUGGGUGACCUCCCAGGAAGUCUUAGUGUUGCACCCU
rnacentral:rRNA from 1 species